rnacentral:sRNA from 1 species
AUUCCCAUCCCCCUCCUCUAGUCCCCGACCUGCGGCAGCCGGAGCUCGGGGAGCGGAGCGUGGUGGGGAGGGGAGCGGGACAGGCGACACGGGAGACAGCGGCGCCGCGGCCUCUCCCCAGCAGGCGGCCCCGGAUCCCACUGGACGCCCUGAGGGCACACCGACCGCGCCUCUAGAGUCACCCCACGCCGACCCCUCGCCUCUUCUCUAGACUUCUUUCCAUCCUUCCCGCUUUUACCCUCCCCACCCCUCCCUGGGCUCCAGGCCGCCGCCCCCUCCUCAUUCCUGGACCGGCCCUUCUCGGUGCCCCUCUUCCCUAGGGAGAUGCGAUGAGCCGGUGCCCCCGCGUCCUCAUCGUCGCCCCGGGCACAGUGCCCGUCCAGUGCCCGUGGUGGGGAGGGAGCACUUCGCGGUCCCUCCGUGACGCCCCUCGCUUGGCCCCCCCCACAGCUGGCGUCCCUCGGCUAUGCCCCAGGGGACCCAGCCAGGGGGUGGGCUCUAGAGCGAGCGGGGUGGAGAGGAGAAAGGACGGGGCCUUGGGCGCCUCUGAGAUGCUCCCAAGUGCCAGGGAGGGCCGAGCGAGGCGCAGGCAACCGGGCAGCAGGCAUGAUGCCCUCGCCUAGUGACUCCAGCCGCUCGCUGACCAGCCGGCCCAGCACCAGGGGCCUUACCCACCUCCGCCUCCACCGACCCUGGCUGCAGGCCCUGCUUACGCUGGGGCUGGUCCAGGUGCUCCUGGGCAUCCUGGUGGUCACCUUCAGCAUGGUAGCCUCUUCCGUCACCACCACCGAGAGCAUCAAGAGGUCCUGCCCGUCUUGGGCUGGGUUCUCGCUGGUGUUCUCCGGGGUGGUUGGCAUUGUGUCCUGGAAGCGGCCAUUCACUCUAGUGAUCUCCUUCUUCUCCUUGCUUUCGGUGCUCUGUGUCAUGCUUAGCAUGGCUGGCUCUGUUCUCUCCUGUAAGAAUGCUCAACUGGCCCGAGACUUCCAACAGUGCUCUCUGGAAGGAAAGGUCUGUGUGUGCUGUCCCUCUGUUCCCCUCCUCCGGCCCUGUCCAGAGUCGGGGCAGGAACUGAAAGUUGCCCCUAACUCCACCUGUGAUGAAGCCCGAGGGGCCCUCAAGAACCUGCUCUUCAGCGUCUGUGGGCUCACCAUUUGUGCCGCUAUAAUCUGUACCCUCUCUGCUAUUGUCUGCUGCAUCCAAAUCUUCUCCCUGGACCUCGUGCAUACGGUGAGAAGGGAGCAGGGGCCAGGGCACGCAGGUAUGGUGGGGGCAGGGGUGUGUGUGCUGAGACUUGCCUGAGGGAACAAUGGCUACAGAUCUGGCUUUUGAGCAUCAGGGGCUAUGGGUUAUCUAUUAUCCUCAUCUAUUGGAGGAAUGGAUGUUUAGUGGGGAGGAUGAGAAGGGGAGAUGGCAGGGAGUGAGUUAAGUAUGUGAUGCCGGUCUGGAAACAGGAGAGGGGGCUUUAGAGAAUGGGACUGGAUGGUGGGGUAGAGUCAAGAAGGUCCUACGCUGGGCACGAUGGCUCAUUCCUGUAAUCCCAGCACUUUGAGAGGCCCAGGCAGGCAGAUCACCUGAGGCCAGGAGUUCAAGACCAACGUGGCCAACGUGGCGAAACCCUGUCUCUAUUAAAAAUACAAAAAUCGGGCCAGGCGUGGUGGCAGGCGCCUGUGGUCCCAGCUACUUGGGAGGCUGAGGCAGGAGAAUGGCAUGAACCCAGGAGGCGGAGCUUGCAGUGAGCUGAGAUAGUGCCACUGCACUCCAGCCUGGGCGACAGAGCGAGACUCCAUCUCAAAAAACAAACAAACAAAAUACAAAAAUUAGCCAAGUGUGAUGGCAGAUGCCUGUAAUCCCAGCUACUUGGGAGUCUGAGGCAGGAAAAUUGCUUGAACUGGGGAGGCAGAGGCUGCAGUGAGCUGAGAUGGUGCCACUGCACUCCAGCCUGGGCGACAGAGCGAGACUCCAUCUCAAAAAACAAACAAACAAAAUACAAAAAUUAGCCAAGUGUGAUGGCAGGUGCCUGUAAUCCCAGCUACUUGGGAGUCUGAGGCAGGAAAAUUGCUUGAACUGGGGAGGCAGAGGCUGCAGUGAGCUGAGAUGGUGCCACUGCACUCCAGCCUCGGCGACAAGAGCAAGACUCCGUCUC